rnacentral:misc_RNA from 1 species
UCACAGCUUACGCUGGCAGUUUCUCUAGAGUUCCACCAAUUAAGGUAUGGCAACUAGAAAUAGGGGUUGCGCUCGUUAUGGGACUUAACCCGACACCUCACGGCACGAGCUGACGACAGCCAUGCAGCACCUAGACAGUUGUCUUGCGAAAGUCUCUUUUCAGAAACGGUCAACUGUCUUUCAAGCCCAGGUAAGGUUCCUCGCGUACCAUCGAAUUAAACCACAUGCUCCUCCGCUUGUGCGGGCCCCCGUCAAUUCCUUUGAGUUUCAACCUUGCGGUCGUACUGGAAGCAAGCU